rnacentral:tmRNA from 1 species
GGGGCUGUCUCUGGUUUCGACGGCGCUGAAUAAUAUACGGAUGCAACUCUUCUCGGUCAAAGAAGUAAAAAGGGCCAAAACAAUAAAUGCAAACUCUCGUAACGCAUUCGCUCUAGCUGCGUAAGCAGUAGGGCCGGGUUAGUCGGAGACCUAGGAACAGAAUGUCCGACCCAAAAUUGCAACACUUAGCACGACACGCUGUACCAAAUGAUUGACAUGGUUGUGCACCAUCUGUAUAUUUGAAAGUGGCGGACAGGGGUUCGACUCCCCUCAGCUCCAC